GCUUCCAAUGAUCACUUUCCCUCCCUUGAGCAGCUAGUCUUGCAAAGAUGUACGCAGCUUGAGGAGGUGCCAUUAAGUUUUGGGGAGAUCCCCACAUUACAGAUAAUUGAGGUGCAUUGGUGUGCCGAAGCUGCUGCUAUUUCUGUCAAGAAAAUCGAGGAAGAACAAAGGGACUCCGGAAAUGAGGAGCUCAAGGUCCUUAUUUCCGGACUGGAGAUAUAGAAGCCCUUUCUGUAGUUUCUUUCUCAUGUCGACAGGCUGACAGCAAUGGAGAAAAUUUUUAGCUGAAGGCAGGUUCCAGAUUAGACUAUUUUCCCUCUGCUUAUCUUGGCUGCAUUUCCGACGUUACUUUAUUUUUCCGCUGCUUAUCGUUACCGUCUUUCCUCCUGAAGAUGAUCAAGAAGAAAUGGCACUCUCAAAGUUCCUAUCCUGCUUGGAUCAGAUUUCCAGGGUUCUUUGUUGCACGUUUGUUGAGGUUUUUAAUUUCAAAGUUUCGCAUAUUAAUUUGAACUUGCAGACUCUAUGCUUCGCGAUUGAAUUUGAUUUGCUGUAUCAUUUCUCUUUUUCCCCAAAA